rnacentral:tRNA from 1 species
AUCAGAUUAGCAAAGAUUAAUGCAGCUGACUUAGGAUCAGCCACCAGAGGUGAAAAUCCUUUAUUUGAUA